rnacentral:rRNA from 1 species
CAGUCGAACGAAACUUCUUUAUCACCGAGUGCUUGCACUCACCGAUAAAGAGUUGAGUGGCGAACGGGUGAGUAACACGUGGGCAACCUGCCCAAAAGAGGGGGAUAACACUUGGAAACAGGUGCUAAUACCGCAUAACCAUAGUUACCGCAUGGUAACUAUGUAAAAGGUGGCUAUACUACCGCUUUUGGAUGGGCCCGCGGCGCAUUAGCUAGUUGGUAGGGUAAAGGCUUACCAAGGCAAUGAUGCGUAGCCGAAUUGAGAGGUUGAUCGGCCACAUUGGGACUGAGACACGGCCCAAACUCCUACGGGAGGCAGCAGUAGGGAAUCUUCCACAAUGGGCGAAAGCCUGAUGGAGCAACGCCGCGUGGGUGAAGAAGGUCUUCGGAUCGUAAAACCCUGUUGUUAGAGAAGAAAGUGCGUGAGAGUAACUGUUCACGUUUCGACGGUAUCUAACCAGAAAGCCACGGCUAACUACGUGCCAGCAGCCGCGGUAAUACGUAGGUGGCAAGCGUUAUCCGGAUUUAUUGGGCGUAAAGGGAACGCAGGCGGUCUUUUAAGUCUGAUGUGAAAGCCUUCGGCUUAACCGGAGUAGUGCAUUGGAAACUGGGAGACUUGAGUGCAGAAGAGGAGAGUGGAACUCCAUGUGUAGCGGUGAAAUGCGUAGAUAUAUGGAAGAACACCAGUGGCGAAAGCGGCUCUCUGGUCUGUAACUGACGCUGAGGUUCGAAAGCGUGGGUAGCAAACAGGAUUAGAUACCCUGGUAGUCCACGCCGUANACGAUGAAUGCUAAGUGUUGGAGGGUNUCCGCCCUUCAGUGCUGCAGCUAACGCAAUAAGCAUUCCGCCUGGGGAGUACGACCGCAAGGUUGAAACUCA